GACGAGUGGCGAACUGGUGAGUAACACGUGGGUAACCUGCCCUGAAGUGGGGGAUAACACUUGGAAACAGGUGCUAAUACCGCAUAACAACGAAAACCACAUGGUUUUCGUUUGAAAGAUGGCUUCGGCUGUCACUUUUGGAUGGACCCGCGGCGUAUUAGCUUGUUGGUGAGGUAACGGCUCACCAAGGCCAUGAUACGUAGCCGACCUGAGAGGGUAAUCGGCCACAUUGGGACUGAGACACGGCCCAAACUCCUACGGGAGGCAGCAGUAGGGAAUCUUCCACAAUGGACGAAAGUCUGAUGGAGCAACGCCGCGUGAGUGAUGAAGGGUUUCGGCUCGUAAAACUCUGUUGUUGGAGAAGAACAGGUGAUAGAGUAACUGUUAUCAUCUUGACGGUAUCCAACCAGAAAGCCACGGCUAACUACGUGCCAGCAGCCGCGGUAAUACGUAGGUGGCAAGCGUUGUCCGGAUUUAUUGGGCGUAAAGCGAGCGCAGGCGGUUUUUUAGGUCUGAUGUGAAAGCCUUCGGCUUAACCGGAGAAGGGCAUCGGAAACCGGGAGACUUGAGUGCAGAAGAGGACAGUGGAACUCCAUGUGUAGCGGUGAAAUGCGUAGAUAUAUGGAAGAACACCAGUGGCGAAGGCGGCUGUCUGGUCUGUAACUGACGCUGAGGCUCGAAAGCAUGGGUAGCGAACAGGAUUAGAUACCCUGGUAGUCCAUGCCGUAAACGAUGAGUGCUAAGUGUUGGAGGGUUUCCGCCCUUCAGUGCUGCAGCUAACGCAUUAAGCACUCCGCCUGGGGAGUACGACCGCAAGGUUGAAACUCAAAGGAAUUGACGGGGGCCCGCACAAGCGGUGGAGCAUGUGGUUUAAUUCGAUGCUACGCGAAGAACCUUACCAGGUCUUGACAUCUUCUGCUAACCUAAGAGAUUAGGCGUUCCCUUCGGGGACGGAAUGACAGGUGGGUGCAUGGUUGUC
rnacentral:rRNA from 1 species